rnacentral:rRNA from 1 species
UUUUUUGGACACACUGCCCUCAGUGCAUCUGAUCUCUUCUGAUCUCAGAAACUAAAUGUGGUUGAGUCUGGUUAGUGCUUGGAUGGGAGAGAUGAAGAGCCUUGGCCCUUAUCACAU